rnacentral:rRNA from 1 species
GGGGAACCUGCGGAAG